rnacentral:rRNA from 1 species
GACCGUGCAAAGGUAGCAUAAUCAUUUGCCUUAUAAUUGAAGGCUUGUAUGAAUGGUUUGACAAGAAUAGACCUGUCUCUUUACAAUUAAAUAUAAUUUUAUUUUCAGGUGAAGAAGCCUGAAUUAAAUUGAAAGACAAGAAGACCCUAUCGAGCUUGAAAGCAAUUAAUAAACUUAAAAUCGUAUUUGUACUGAAUUAAUUAUUAAAAAUUUUAGUUGGGGCGACGGAGGAACAAAUAAAGCUUCCUUAAAAUUUAGAUACAUACAGGUAAUGAUCCAAACGUUUUGAUCAAAGAAUCUAGUUACCGUAGGGAUAACAGCAUUAUCUUUUUUAAGAGCUCAAAUCGAAAAAAAGGUUUGUGACCUCGAUGUUGGACCAGAAUGUCCUAAAGAUGCAGCCGUCUUUAAGGGUUGGUCUGUUCGACCAUUAAAAUUCUACGUGAUCUGAGUUCAGACCGGCGUGAGCCAGGUCAGUUUCUAUCUUCAAUUUUUGAUGUGGGCUUAGUACGAAAGGAUCAACCUACAAUAAGAAUUAUUGCAACUGAUGAAGUAUAAAAAUAAUUUUAAUAAAUAAAAUUUCUAGAUAAUCAAAUUAGCAAAGAUAAUGCAAUUGACUUAGGAUCAAUAGACAUAGGUGAAACUCCUUUAUUUGAUAUCUAAUAAAGAUGGCAGAUAAA